GCGGAAGUAGUUCAGGGGUAGAACACCACCUUGCCAAGGUGGGGGUCGCGGGUUCGAAUCCCGUCUUCCGCU
rnacentral:tRNA from 1 species